UGCAUGUCUCAGUACUUGCCUACCUAAGGCGAAACCGCGAAUGGCUCAUUAAAUCAGUCAUGAUUCAUUGGAUGUUGUCAAAUCCUUACUCGGAUAACUGUGGUAAUUCUAGAGCUAAUACGUGCAACUAAGCUCCGACCCUGCCGGGGAGUCCUUCGCGUCGCCUCGGUCGGGGGAAGGGCGCAUUUGUUAGACCAAAAACCGGGUGGAAAGUAAGCGCGCGCCUCGCGCACGCCCAAAUCCUCCAAAUACGGUUACGUGGUGACUCUGAAUAACUACAGCCGAGCGCUGAGGUCAUAGUACCGGCGCCGUAUCCUUCGAGUGUCUGCCUUAUCAGCUCUCGAUUGUAGGUUAUUCGCCUACAAUGGCUGUAACGGGUAACGGGGAAUCAGGGUUCGAUUCCGGAGAGGGAGCCUGAGAAACGGCUACCACAUCUAAGGAAGGCAGCAGGCACGCAAAUUACCCAAUCCCGGCUCGGGGAGGUAGUGACGAAAAAUAACGAUGCGGGACUCUUCCGAGGCCUCGCAAUCGGAAUGAGUUCAAUUUAAAUCCUUGGACGAGGAUCCAUUGGAGGGCAAGUCUGGUGCCAGCAGCCGCGGUAAUUCCAGCUCCAAUAGCGUAUAUUAAAGUUGU
rnacentral:rRNA from 1 species